UUGUCUUUUUUAAGGGCCAUAUGAAAAAAAAUGGUGUAUAAAAGAAUAAUAGAAAAAAUCUAACUACCUCUUGAUAGGAAAAAUUAUUUUAUGCGCUCAUCAUAUAGAAUGUGUCUCAUUCUUGCGAGAGGUGCGCUCUAUAGGACGGGGGCAUAAGAUACUAUCUCCAUUGAUAGUGCCGUGGAGGGCUGCGCCUUUUUACUCGACAAAAUAAAAGUGACCAAAUACCACCGUCCAUAAUCAUUCAAAAAGCAAUGUCAAGGGGACCGGUCCUUUUGUAUUUCACUAUUGCUUGCGGGAAGUAAACUCACAUUAUGCCCGUGAUUUUGUUCUCCCCUGCAAAAUAACGAAAAAUGUUAAACCCCAAAAAAAGGAAAGGACAAAAUUCUACAGCCAGAGCUUCAGCAAAGACAUCACGAAUAUUGUAGAUUCAUUCAAGCUUUAGCUACCUUCAUGAUUGAUUUCUCAAAUCUCAUUUUAUUUGAGCUCCUCAUCGUAAUGGAUGAACGAAAUUGUGAUUGGGGUCGUCUCUGUUGGAGGAAAAUCUGCAAAAAUGAACUGAGUGGAAGAGUAAUACGUUGGUGUGGUGUUAGCCAAACCACCUCCGCCCUCCGAUGCUUAAGUCAAUAAGGGAGAAAGAUUUUAGAGAGAAUUCACUGGAGGGAGAUUUUCGUAGAGUAUUUGUGGGUACCUUUAACUUUUGUUGCCUUCUCUUUUUAUAGUUGCAUGCCUCAUUAAUCGGCAAUGAAUUGUUGUAUUUAUGCUCAACGGCUAGUGCAUUACAAAAUCUUUGUCUGAAAUUCAUAGCUCACUCUGUGACUGUUACUCCAUUUGUUACACUUUGUCAUCAAUGAGCGUAAUAAAUUCGUAACGUCUUCUCUUGGUUAAUGAUGAUCUCAGAUGACACUUCGUAUUUCGUGUAUGGCACAUUUAUAACAAGUUGAUGUUUGAUCUGCUAAGUGCCACGUGUACGGUUAAGAUGCGUUUGACACACAGACUUUCCUCAGUUUUCCCGCGCACGUUUUGGCCAUUUAUCUCGCAUUUUCCCUCCUUUUUCCAUUUCUUCAUUUUCUUUCCUUGUUCAGUUGGCGUUCUAAGGUUUUUCUCUUCUUCAAGCUUUCAUUUUCAGUUCUGCGUUCCCUGGUAAGUUCUUCGUGCUCCUCUCUCUUUUCCUGCUCUUCCAUGGUAGAAUACUCUUUGUUAGGGUCGAUUGUCCCUCAAUAUCUUUUCUUUUUGCUCACUUAGGUCGUUUGCUUGAGAUUGUGGAGGGAGAGUGUCUCAAGGGGGUUAGUCUUUUCGUGGGGGAGGACUAUCCGUAUAGGUUUGUCCUUUCCUCUUUAUUUCCUUUGGUUUCUUAUUCUGCUAGAGUUGCUAGGUCUUUGAAAAUGUCUAGGGAGGUUAGGUCUAGUGAGC